UAGGACGAACGCUGGCGGCGUGCCUAAUACAUGCAAGUCGAACGGUCUUUCUAUGGAAGCUUGCUUCCACUGAGAAGAUAGUGGCGAACGGGUGAGUAACACGUGGGUAACCUGCCCAUAAGAGGGGGGAUAACAUCCGGAAACGGGUGCUAAUACCGCAUAGUUUUCUUGAUCGCAUGAUCGGGAAAGGAAAGACGGCCUUUGUGCUGUCGCUUAUGGAUGGACCCGCGGCGUAUUAGUUAGUUGGUGAGGUAACGGCUCACCAAGACGAUGAUACGUAGCCGACCUGAGAGGGUGAUCGGCCACAUUGGGACUGAGACACGGCCCAAACUCCUACGGGAGGCAGCAGUAGGGAAUCUUCCGCAAUGGACGAAAGUCUGACGGAGCAACGCCGCGUGAGUGAAAGAAGGUUUUCGGAUCGUAAAACUCUGUUGUCAGAGAAGAACAAGUUGGAGAGUAACUGCUCCAGCCUUGACGGUAUCUGACCAGAAAGCCACGGCUAACUACGUGCCAGCCGCCGC
rnacentral:rRNA from 1 species